rnacentral:misc_RNA from 1 species
GCUCUUCAAGCAUAUCAAUAAACUGUUUACACAGAAUCACAGCAACCAUCACAAAAUUAGAAAUUAAUAAAGGUAAACAAAGGUGGAUAUUGUCAGAUCAAGCACAUAACAUAUUUUCUAGAUAAAUAAAAAAAGAAAUAAUUAAUUGGCAUUGAAACAAACAAUAGACUAGCAUUCAUCUUUGCUAGCAUACAAGAAAAAAAUGUCAAAAAAUUCAAAGGGCAUAAAAGAAAAUCCAAAGGAAGAAAAAUGUGAAGGAAAAUUAUUUUCCUUCCUACUAAAAAUUUGAGGAUUUUCCAUCCGAACUACCACUUUUAAAUGCCAACUAUCAUGAUUUUACAAGUUUAUUGGCAUUUCAAACCAAAGCACAAGCAAGGCCACAAAAACAGGUUUACAUUGUGUUGGGUCAAUAUUUUCAGAUUGCACCAGAUCAAGUAGCAUCAUGAAUCAUCAUGGGCAAGCAAGUUACAGAAUUAAAAUGAGUGGAAAAGUUAUAAUCAUUUCCAACUGUCAUUAUUAGCCAAUCAAAGGAAAAAUGGCCA